CAGCAAGGCGACCCGAGCGGUCUGAGCAAACUGUGACAAUAUCUAGUUUGUUCGCCCCGGCUCGUGUCGCCAAGCGUCA